rnacentral:snoRNA from 10 species
UGGACCAAUUAUGACUACUGGUGUGAGUCACGCAUAAUGAACACCACGUGUCUGGAACUCUGAGGUCCAA